rnacentral:rRNA from 1 species
GACGAACCGUGCGAACGUUGUUCGGAAUCACUGGGCUUAAAGGGCGCGUAGGCGGGCAUUCAAGUCGGUGGUGAAAUCCUCCAGCUUAACUGGAGAAGAGCUGUCGAUACUGGAUGUCUCGGAGGGGUGCAGGGGUCUGCGGAACUUCGGGUGGAGCGGUGAAAUGCGUAGAGAUCCGAAGGAACGCCGGUGGCGAAGGCGGCUC